rnacentral:tRNA from 1 species
GGGGACAUAGCUUAAGAAUAGAGCAUUUGACUGCAGAUCAAGAGGUCCCUGGUUCAAACCUAGGUCCUCCCC